UGGGGAAUAUUGGACAAUGGGCGCAAGCCUGAUCCAGCAAUGCCGCGUGUGUGAAGAAGGCCUUCGGGUUGUAAAGCACUUUUAUCAGGAGCGAAACGCUGUCGGCUAAUACCCGGCGGAACUGACGGUACCUGAGGAAUAAGCACCGGCUAACUUCGUGCCAGCAGCCGCGGUAAUCGAAGGGUGCAAGCGUUAAUCGGAAUUACUGGGCGUAAAGCGUGCGUAGGCGGUUUCUUAAGUCUGCUGUGAAAUCCCCGGGCUCAACCUGGGAAUGGCAGUGGAUACUGGGAGGCUAGAGUGUGUCAGAGGGUGGUGAAUUCCCGGUGUAGCGGUGAAAUGCGUAGAGAUCGGGAGGAACAUCAGU
rnacentral:rRNA from 1 species